GUGGGGAAUAUUGGGCAAUGGGCGCAAGCCUGACCCAGCAACGCCGCGUGAAGGAAGAAGGCUUUCGGGUUGUAAACUUCUUUUACCAGGGACGAAACAAAUGACGGUACCUGGUGAAUAAGCCACGGCUAACUACGUGCCAGCAGCCGCGGUAAUACGUAGGUGGCGAGCGUUAUCCGGAUUUCUUGGGUGUAACGGGCGUGUAGGCGGGACAGCAAGUCAGAUGUGAAAACCAGAGGCUCAACCUCUGGCCUGCAUUUGAAACUGUUGUUCUUGAGUGUCGGAGAGGUAAUCGGAAUUCCGUGUGUAGCGGUGAAAUGCGUAGAUAUACGGAGGAACACCAGUGGCGAAGGCGGAUUACUGGACGAUAACUGACGCUGAGGCGCGAAAGCGUGGGGAGCAAACAGGAUUAGAAACCCGGGUAGUCC
rnacentral:rRNA from 1 species